rnacentral:lncRNA from 1 species
UUUUUUUUUUUUUUUUUUUUAAGAUUUUAUUUAUUUAUUCAUGAUAGUCACAGAGAGAGAGAGAAUGAGAGGCAGAGACACAGGCAGAGGGAGAAGCAGGCUCCAUGCAGGGAGCCCGACGUGGGAUUCGAUCCCGGGUCUCCAGGAUCGAGCCCGGGGCCAAAGGCAGGCACCAAACCGCUGCGCCACCCAGGGAUCCCCUUGGGGAAGGUUUUUAAUCUCUCUGAGCCACAGUAUCUUUGUCUGGAAAACCUAGGUUUUAGAAUCUCCUUAAAGGAGUUAUAGGUAGGACAAAAUAUAUAUAAUAUGCUUGACAUAGUCCUUGAUUAUAGUAAUUAUUCAAUACAUGAUGCUGUUAUUGUUACUAUUGUUGGUAAAGUUCCAUUAAGUGAUAUUCAUAAAGUAAAAAAUAAAAAGUGUUUAUAUAAUUAGGUUCUACAUAAUCGGGUCAUCUCAUUAUCAAUAACAAUUAUGCUAUCAUUUGUACUAUACAGAAUUCUAUACAAUAAAUAAACCCAGGAAAAUGAAUCCUCUACAGUAUGAGAGUACUUUCCUUCUCUGUAAUGAAAGAAGCUGUUGCGCACUUUCUAAUUUUCUAAGUAUGGAGUGUAGUUAUAUGUUUGAUAGAGGAGGCACCACAUCUGUUGUAUAUUGGUUUGGUACAAUUUCAAAUCCACUUACUUAUGAUAAAGCCCCCCAAAAAGUUGUUUUUAGAAAUAAAGUUAUUUUGAUAUAAGAAUGAAGUAUGUUGUGUCAGGACAUCAUCAUCUCACCUCUUCUCACCAGUAAGAAUGCAGCAGCUCAGCUGCUAGAGGCCCCUCCUGGGGGCUUCUUGAUAAAAACAUAUAAAGAAGCAACUUGGAAAAGGACAUUUAGACUAUAAAUACCGAGAGUCUAUGAGGACCAUCUGAGAGUGUUCGGUCUGGGCAAAGUGACUCCUUCUCAUCUAAAAUAGCUCUCCAAAGACCUUGGGGCAUUAGCUCUUGCCUUGGUAAAGGCGACUCUUAUUGGCAGCAGUGAUAACCAGGCAGCAGCCCUUGGCGAAGAUCAUCUUGCCCAUCGACACCAGAGCUACCGUUCCCUAGCAACAUGCUCUAGCAACAGGGAACUUUUGCACUGACAGCUGGACAUCAGCUCACAGUUGGCUGACCUGUCUCUCUCAAGUACCAACUCCUGUAAAGGUUCAACCCCACUGACUGUGGACUUUAUUCCUUUCUUCUCCUUUUGCCUAGAACAAUAGUGUGAUUAAUGGAUCAUUGAUUUGAUGUAUAUUAUUUCUUUAUUGGCUUAUUAAAAGACAUCCUGUAUGCUAUUGACUUGUGAAAUUUCCGCAGUGAAACUGCAUUAAAUAAAUUGCUGGCAAAGAACAACAACGACAACAACAGCAACAACAACAACAACUCAGUCUCUGAGCAUUAAUUUGCUUUCCAAAACAAAACAACAUUCUUGCUGGAUCAAAAUAUUUCUUUUCUUUUAUGUCUGGGUAUUAACUUGAUCCCAUCUCCAUUGUGUAAUCUGAGGGCAUAAUUUCCAAUAGAGUCAUUUUAAAUGAAUUUCACUGCAAUGAACGUUUUUCUUGUCCUAUCCAUUAUAUUAACAGAUGAUCUUAUCUGUGACAUAAACUUCUUCACUAAGUUUGCACAAACUUUCCUCAAUUAAUUCAAGGACUCUCUACCAGUAGAGACUCCAGAUAAAGCCCCCAGCAUGCUCUUUACCAGACAGUUAUUUGUGUAGAUAUUAAAUUAUUUGCCAUCUACAACCUAACUUAUUUUAAAGAAAUCCUUAGGAACUACUGAGGGAAUUCUGAUUAUCCUCAUUUUAUAGAUUGAGACCAAAGAGGUUUGCCCAACCUUGGCUACACAGUAUCAGUCAUGUUGUUCCAAAAUAAUACAGAAGCUCAGACCCACUCUUGGAGAUUAGAAGUAGAGUAUGGGCAUUGGAAAUCUAUUUAUUUAUUUAUUUAUUUAUUUAUUUAUUUAUUUAUUUAUGAUCCCUGAGUGGUUCUAAAUUUCAGCCAGAAAUGAGAACUUCUUGCUUAAGAUCAAAGAGCUAAUUAGUGGUAAAGAUGAGUGAAAAAAAAAAUCCCUUUACAUCUGCCACAAUGUUGCUUGUAUUCUGCUGCUCCAUCAAACAUUGAUAUUUAACAGAAUAUAAAAAUGGGGGCUCUUCUUGAAAACUUAAGAGAGCUUACAAAUAUUUGAGGGCCUCUUUACAUCUCUAAGGGGCACAAGUGGAUUUUUGUAAUUGACCUGACAAAGGUAUAUAAGCAGAUUGGAAAAGAUCAAGAAAAUGGAGUCUGUUGACUGUGUGGCCUCUUUCUGUUUUGUUGAACACUCAAUCCCCAGCAUCUAGAGCAGUUUUUGGUACAUGGUAGAUGAAUUAAGAAAGCACAUAUUGUCCCCUGUAAGGGACUUCCCUGUGUUGACAGAAGAUGGAUUUUGGUUCUAGGGUAAAGUAAACUCUUUGGCCCUUGUCCAGUGCACUUGCAACUCAAUAGCAAUCAUGUCCUCUUAGCUAUAGUGCAGGCCCUGGUUAGCAACUGACUUUGUCACCAUAUCCCCACCCACAGUCCUGCCUGGCCACCUGCUCUGUGAUGACAGACAGAUUGUCUGUGACAUUGCAGGAGGCCAGACCACACAGAGAUGGCAAUCUGACCAAGCCUCAGGCUUAUGCCUGUAAGCUGACCCUUUGUCAAUUAUCUCAGGAAUUACUUAUAAGCUCAUUUGGCCCACUUUGUAAGAAUGUCAGAGAAUCUCUUAUUUCCUGUUGAGAGAGGCUCUUUAGGAGUAUAAUUUAUGGAUAUGUGCUUGCUUUUUCAUUUACUAUUUUUCAAGAAUCAAGGGACCUGUGAAUUUUCUGAUAGUUCAAAGUUAGUCAUCAAGCAACUCUUAUUAAAGGCAAAAAGCUGGGCAGAGCAGAGACAAAACAGAGUUCACGGUGGAGAAUAGUCAUAGUAAUUCUUGUUUUCAUUCAUUCCUUCAUGUAUUCAUUCAACAACUAUUGAUGGGGACCUACUCUGGCCCAGGCACUAUCUCAUACCUAGAGAUACAAUAGAGAAAACAUCAGUUAAAUUUCCCAUCCUCUGGGACCUACAUUCUACUGGAAAAAAGAAGAGGCAAUAACCAAAAUAAACAAAUGAACUCACCCUGGGUAUCAGCUGGAGACGCUGCUAUGGAGAAAUGAAGCAAGAAAACAGGCUAGUGCCUUUAGGAAGCAAGUACUAGUUUAGAUGGUCAGUUUCUCAGAAACCUCAGUGAAGUGAGAAUUUCUUCCUGACCUGCUAUCCCUGUUUUGAGAGUCCCAAACAGGUAAGCAAUAGAUCCCAAUGUUUUGUUUGUUUGAUACUUUAUUUCUGCCCAGAGUCAAGUUUCCUUUAGGAAUUCCUACCUCUAAGUAGCAGCCUUCCUGAGGCUCAGCUGCAGAGGCACAGCCACAGGGUUUGCACCUCCGCAUUCAGGUGCAUGUACGUCUGUUAUAAAUCCAAGAAUUGUUCCAAAAAGACGGACCGCUCCCUGAGGCUGCACAUAAAAUGGUUGUAUCCUUUCUAAGGCAGAGCUGCUGCAAGAGUUCUGACUACCCCUUUAGGUUUUAUUUAAAGAACGUUGUUUUAAUGCAACUGGAUGGCAAACUUUAUACAAGUGAGCUUUCCUGGGUGAACCUCUUACCACAAAGUCAACAGCACUGGGGAGUAGGGAGGGGAAUAACAUAUGUGUAGCUUAGGGAUGGUUCCAGGGCUUCUUUCCAUGAGUUAGUCACACCUCCUGUAUCCUUCUUCCUAUAUUCUUAACUGAGAUCACAUAAUACACAUAACAUGCACACAUACACACUGCAUUCAUACACACACACUCUUACACAAACACACACUUGCAUACCAAGUGUUAACUCUGGCUAAAUAUCUUAAUUAUUGGAAAAUCACCGUUUGCAAAUUUGCAAAAACACAUGGAAAUAGCAGCUGACUUCUUAUUUUUCCUAAUUUUAUUUAACCUUAAUGGUCUUUUAUUGGCCAGAUCUUACAUACUUGAUUUCAUGUCUACUUAGAGGCUCAUAGGCUAAUGCAGAGUAUCAGCCAUUCAUUGCUCUCUUUCAAAAUGAAUGAUGAUAGAUUUCGGACUUAAAAAAGAUACUUGAAAAAAAAAAAA